UAAUCAAGGCUUUUAGUCACAACGUG
rnacentral:sRNA from 1 species